UGGGUUCAGCUACUCUAGUCAACUUAUCAAUUCUUCCUUCAAAAGGUCUUUGGGCCAGGGAAGGGGCAUGUAGAGAGAGAGAUUUUUCCAGUGGCAGAAACACUGUUGCAUUAGCUACAAAACUUCUCUCACAGCUCUUUCAACACUAUCCACUGGAGUCUGCAAAGGUCCUGGCCCCUGUUUCUGGAUUUGUCAUUAUAUAGGAUAAUGCUCUUUUUUUUUUUUUUUUUUUUUAAGGAGUAUUUAGAAGAGAAGCAUCAUGAUGCUUGCAUCUUACAUUCAAGUGGUUUGACAAAAACAUCGACAUUAAUUCCUUGAGCUCAAAUAAAUACGUUGCAGAUAAAUGAAGCCACUUUUCUCACUGUUGAAGAAGAAAAUUACAGAUAUGAAAACAGACAGGGUCUGCUCUGUUGGCCAGGCUGGAGCGCAGUGUCACAAUGUCUACUCACUGCAGGCUCUACCUCCUGGGCUCAAGCGAUUCUCACACCUCAGCCUCAAGAAUGGCUCAGACUACAGGCAUGUACCUCUGUGCCUGGCUAAGAUUUGUAGUUUUUUGGUAGACACAGGGUCUCACUAUGUUGCCCAGGCUGGUCUUGAACUCUAUAGUGUUUGAUCAUAGAAGUGGAGAUACUAACCAAAAAUCUUUUCAAAUUAAGCCUAAUAAACACAGACAUAAUAAUCUGACUAUAUUCAAACAAAUCGAAUAGUUAGUGUGCAGAUCCUCUUUCUAGAAAACCAAGUGCCAUUUUUUAAAAAAUCAAAGACUUAAUGAGCAAUUCUUUUUGUGCAAAGGUUGAUCAAGGGCUCACUGUAUUUUAUAUGGUUGUGUGGGAAAAUGCAUUACUAGUUUAUUAUGGCUUGGGUCCAUUCUCAAGGUGCCUCGUUUUUGUCCUAGAAAUGGAGUUUCUAUAUCAAUCUGCUUCAUAACCUUGGGGAGUCUUGUGAUGAGUACUGGUGGAAAAGCGUUUAGAUGAAGAUAAAUGAAAGCCUUACUAAGCCAAAUUCAUUUUAUUUAGACAUGCAAGUCACAUGGAAAUAAAUGUUAUUUAGGAGUAAUGUAAGUUGUAAAUCUGUUUUUUCCUUAACAUGAAUUGUAUAUGUUUAGAACUGCCUGGUGUAUAGUCUGGGCCAGGGGCCAGUUUUUCUCGGACUAAGGCUAAAUCCUGUAAAUUCACACUAUAAAUGAACUGACAGAAUACUUACCUACAUAAUAUCCUAAAUUAAAUUUGGCAUCACCAAAUAUCUUCAAAAGAGUGACUGGAGAUUCAACUUAAACUCUGACCUUUGCUCAACUGAACUCUGACACACUGAUCCACUUGGUAAAGGGCCAAAUCAAAGAUUUUUUUCCCAAGUUCUAUUUUGCAUGUGCAUACUUGUGGAAAGCUGACCUAGCCAUAACAUAUGGCAUGUCAUCAACUGAUAGAAGUGACCUGGCAAGUGGAUGUGUCCUCUUUCCAUUGCCAUCACUCUUCUCUUUAGAAUGUCUAGUCAUUGCAGGCUUGGUUGAUGAGAACAACCUUCACAAUGCAGGAAGAUCAUCUUUCCAUUGUGGGUACGUGUGGCCAUGUCAAAUAGCUUAAGGUAGCAGCCUCUUAUUGUCAAUUCUUACCCCUUUGCCACUCUUUCUGAACUGCCAGCUUCCUUCUCAACAGCUGGAUCUUUUUGGCUCUUUUACUUUCACCAUUGUUCUUUUCUUUCACUAGAAACUCCCUCUGCUACCACUGUUCACCCCUGUGCAAAGAAUUUCCAAACCUAGUUCCUAUCUUCUGUCUAUAGCCUUCUUGUGUAUCUUAUCUCUGUAUCUCUCAGGUCAAUAAAACAUCUGAGAAAUAAAUGAAAAUGAUUUGUUGGUUCUAGUUUCUGUUCUGCACAUCCAGCUGCAUCUCCAGUUCCUAGGGUGACCGUAUAAAAUUGGGACAGCUUUGAAUAUGAAAGAGAGCACUUUUGACGAUAAUUAUGCUGGGACAAUAGCCAUAAAUGGUUCCAGGCAAACCCAUGGUCACUCUUCCUGUUUAGCAUGUGCCAAAUUAAAACCAUCACAGCUACCACCAGGACACCUUUUCUUCCAGAAAUAAAUAUUUCUAAAUUUUCAGUCACUCAGGGUCAAAUGCUGGAGUCAUAGCUGACUUCCAUCUCUCUCCCAUAUUUAAUGUCUC
rnacentral:lncRNA from 1 species